rnacentral:rRNA from 1 species
CCUACGGGGGGCAGCAGUGAGGAAUAUUGGUCAAUGGGCGCGAGCCUGAACCAGCCAAGCAGCGUGAAGGAAGACUGCUCUACGGGUUGUAACCUUCUUUUAUACAGGAGUAAAGUGAGCCACGCGUGUCUGUUUGUAUGUACUUUACGAAUAAGGAUCGGCUAACUCCGUGCCAGCAGCCGCGGUAAUACGGAGGAUUCCAGCGUUAUCCGGAUUUAUUGGGUUUAAAGGGAGCGUAGGUGGGCUGUUAAGUCAGAUGUGAAAGUUCGCGGCUCAACGGUAGAAUUGCAAUUGAUACUGGUGGCCUUGAGUACAGUUGAGGUAGGCGGAAUUCGUGGUGUAGCGGUGAAAUGCUUAGAUAUCACGAAGAACACCGAUUGCGAAGGCAGCCUACUAAACUACAACUGACGGUGAGGCUCGAAAGUGUGGGGAGCAAACAGGAUUAGAUACCCCAGUAGUC